rnacentral:rRNA from 1 species
UUACUAGAGUAGCACUCGCAUAUCAAUAAGCGGAGGAAAAGAAACUAACAAGGAUUCCCCUAGUAACGGCGAGUGAAGCGGGAAGAGCUCAAAUUUGAAAUCUUAAAGGGUUUCCCUUUACGAAUUGUAGUUUAAAGAAGUGUUUUCUGUUGAGGUCUUGGUAAAAGUUCUUUGGAAUAGGACAUCAUAGAGGGUGAGAAUCCCGUAUUUGACCUUUACUUUCAACUUUGUGAUACACUUUCAAAGAGUCGGAUUGUUUGGGAAUGCAGUCCAAAAUGGGUGGUAAAUUUCAUCUAAAGCUAAAUAUUGGCGAGAGACCGAUAGCGAACAAGUAUCCGUGAGGGAAAGAUGAAAAGAACUUUGAAAAGAGAGUUAAACAGUACGUGAAAUUGUCAAAAGGGAAGCGUUUGACACCAGUGUUGUUUUUCUGAAAAUCAAUUAAAGAACUGUUUAUGCUAAGCUGUUUAGACUUUAUCAGCUAUCUGUUUAGUUUUGAGCUUUUCUUUAAUGCACUUUUCAGUUAACAAGUCAACAUCAAUUUCUUUUGCUGUAAAAAAGCUUGAGGAAGGUGGCUUGAGAUUCGUCUUAAGUGUUUAUAGCCUCUUGCCUAUGCAGUCGGAGAGAUUGAGGUCUGCAGCGUAGAUCCUUCGGGGCUAAAUGCAUUUGUGCUAAGUUAUAGCAUUUUAUAGACAACUUGUUGACUAUGAUUUGUCUUGUAGCUUACUCGCUUAUGUUAUUUUACCUACGCUUAGGAUGUUGAGCGCAUGUCUCUCUCU